rnacentral:rRNA from 1 species
AUUGAACGCUGGCGGCAGGCCUAACACAUGCAAGUCGAACGAGUGGCGGACGAGUGAGUAAUGUCUGGGAAACUGCCUGAUGGAGGGGGAUAACUACUGGAAACGGUAGCUAAUACCGCAUACCAUCAGAUGUGCCCAGAUGGGAUUAGCUUGUUGGUGGGGUAACGGCUCACCAAGGCGACGAUCCCUAGCUGGUCUGAGAGGAUGACCGGCCACACGGGAACUGAGACACGGGCCAGAGUCCUAGGGGGGGCAGCGGUGGGAAAUAUUGAACAAGGGGCGCAAGCCUGAGGCAGCCAUGCCGGGUGUAUGAAGAAGGCCUUCGGGUUGUAAAGUACUUUCAGCGGGGAGACGUUACCCGCAGAAGAAGCACCGGCUAACUCCGUGCCAGCAGCCGCGUAAUUC